UAUUAAAAAUUCAUCCAUUUCUAUUAUUAAAAAUUAGUGUAGCUAACUGAAUAACCAGACAGUUAUGCGUGAUGUGCCACGUGUACUUCAUACUAACAUAUGGAGAUUUUUUUUAAUAUUAGAAAUGGAUGUAAUUUUUAAUA
rnacentral:pre_miRNA from 1 species